rnacentral:rRNA from 1 species
AUUGAACGCUGGCGGCAUGCUUUACACAUGCAAGUCGAACGGCAGCGCGGGCUUCGGCCUGGCGGCGAGUGGCGAACGGGUGAGUAAUACAUCGGAACGUGCCCAGUAGUGGGGGAUAGCUCGGCGAAAGCCGGAUUAAUACCGCAUACGACCUGAGGGUGAAAGCGGGGGAUCUUCGGACCUCGCGCUAUUGGAGCGGCCGAUGGCAGAUUAGCUAGUUGGUGGGGUAAAGGCCUACCAAGGCGACGAUCUGUAGCUGGUCUGAGAGGACGACCAGCCACACUGGGACUGAGACACGGCCCAGACUCCUACGGGAGGCAGCAGUGGGGAAUUUUGGACAAUGGGCGAAAGCCUGAUCCAGCAAUGCCGCGUGUGUGAUGAAGGCCUUCGGGUCGUAAAGCACUUUUGGCGGGAACGAAAAGGACUGUGCCAAUACCACGGUUCGAUGACGGUACCCGCAGAAUAAGCACCGGCUAACUACGUG